AAUAGCUCAGUCGGUAGAGCAAUCGGCUGUUAACCGAUUUGUCGUAGGUUCGAGUCCUACUU
rnacentral:tRNA from 4 species